AUGAUACCUGGAACAAUGCAAAAUAUGUGUAAUCUAAGGUCUCUAGAUCUCAGCACCAACAACAUCGACAUGGACAUAAGAGAGGUAAUAGACAUAAUACCCAACUGUUCUUGGAAGAAUUUGCAAGAGCUGAAUUUGAGAUAUGCCAACAUCACUGGCACGACAUUACAAUUUGUGUCAAACCUAACUAGCUUAACCAUGCUUGAUGUCAGUGACAACCAGUUGAGAGGUUCAGUGCAUGUUGAGAUUGGCAUGCUUACAAAUUUGACUGACUUGUACCUUGGAAACAACAACUUGAGUGGUGUGAUAUCAGAAGAUCAUUUUGCUAGUUUGAUUAAUUUACAGGCCAUUGACUUAUCUCAGAAUAAUUUGGAACUCAUUAUUGAUUCUCAUUGGGUGCCUCCGUUCAGCUUGGAUGUGGCAUCAUUUUCAUCUUGUCAUUUGGGUCCCCAAUUUCCUGAAUGGCUUCGAUGGCAGAAGAGUAUCCGUAUCCUUGAUAUUUCAAACAAUGGCCUAGUUGGUCGGAUCCCAGAUUGGUUUUGGACUACCUUUUCUGAAGCUCGGCAUUUGGACAUCUCCAUGAACCAACUUAGUGGUGACUUACCACUCAAUCUGGAGUUCAUGUCAAUGAUUACACUUUCAAUGCGGUCAAAUCUACUGACUGGUUUGAUACCCAAGUUACCAACAACAAUUGUGGUACUAGACAUAUCCAUGAACUCUUUAAAUGGGUUUGUGUCAGAUUUCCGAGCUCCACGACUGCAGGUUGCAGUUCUGUUUUCCAAUUUAAUAUCCGGGGCUAUUCCAACAUCAAUUUGUCAAAUGCAAAAAUUGCGGGUCUUAGAUCUUUCAAACAAUCUACUUUCAAAGGAACUUCCCGAUUGUGGCCGGAAAGAGCUGAGGCAACGUAACCCAUCUAGCAGCAACUAUUCUAGAGUCAAGUCAAUGAGUUCCUUCAGUUUGAAAAUCACUACUCUUCUCCUAAGCAACAACAGUCUUUCAAGCAGAUUUCCUUUGUUCCUACAACAAUGUCCAAGUCUUAUUUUCCUUGACCUAACUCAAAACCUAUUCAACGGAGAGUUACCUGGAUGGAUUAGCAAAGUCAUGCCUGGUUUGGUUAUUCUACGGUUAAGAUCGAACAACUUUUCUGGUCACAUUCCGAUUGAAGUAAUGGAACUCCAUGAUGUUCGUAUUCUGGAUCUAUCCAAUAAUAACUUUUCUGGGGCCAUACCACAAUAUGUAAAAAACUUGAAAGCUUUGACUGGCAAUGCUACUGCUAAUCAUUCAAUAGCUUAUGAUAUUUUCUUUGAAGGAUACAGUGACAAGUAUCUGUCAAGUGGUAUGGGAAUGUCUAAUGAUAGCUUUUUUGUGGUGACAAAAGGGCAAGUGCUUAAGUAUGGGAAGAAUAUUUUAUAUUUGAUGAGCAUUGAUUUGUCUUGCAACAGUUUGAUCGGAGAAAUCCCAGAGGAACUAAGCUCCCUUGGUGGUCUCAUAAGUUUGAUCUUUGAAUCUAUCAUCAAACUUGUUGAGUGGAAAUAUCCCAUAUAA
rnacentral:rRNA from 1 species